ACAAGCGGUGGAGCAUGUGGUUUUAAUUUCGACGCAACGCGCAGAACCUUACCUGGUCUUUGACAUCCCGGGAAUUUCCUUGAAAGAGGGAAGUGCCUCGCAAGAGGAGCCUGGAGACAGGUGCUGCAUGGCUGUCGUCAGCUCGUGUCGUGAGAUGUUGGGUUAAGUCCCGCAACGAGCGCAACCCUUAUCGUUAGUUGCUACCAUUAAGUUGAGCACUCUAGCGAGACUGCCCGGGUUAACCGGGAGGAAGGUGGGGAUGACGUCAAAUCAUCAUGCCCCUUAUGUCUAGGGCUACACACGUGCUACAAUGGUGAGGACAAAGAGACGCAAGACUGCGAGGUGGAGCAAAUCUCACAAACCUCAUCCCAGUUCGGAUUGCAGGCUGAAACUCGCCUGCAUGAAGCCGGAGUUGCUAGUAAUCGCGAAUCAGCAUGUCGCGGUGAAUACGUUCCCGGGCCUU
rnacentral:rRNA from 1 species